CCUACGGGACGCAGCAGUGGGGAAUAUUGGGCAAUGGGCGCAAGCCUGACCCAGCAACGCCGCGUGAAGGAAGAAGGCUUUCGGGUUGUAAACUUCUUUUCUUGGGGACGAAGAAAGUGACGGUACCCAAGGAAUAAGCCACGGCUAACUACGUGCCAGCAGCCGCGGUAAUACGUAGGUGGCAAGCGUUAUCCGGAUUUAUUGGGUGUAAAGGGAGCGCAGGCGGCACGGCAAGCCUGGUGUGAAAACCCGGGGCCCAACCCCGGGAGUGCAUUGGGAACUGCCGCGCUAGAGUGCCGGAGGGG
rnacentral:rRNA from 1 species